CACGGAGUUAGCCGGUGCUUAUUCGUAUAGUACCUUCAGCUACCCUCACGAGGGUAGGUUUAUCCCUAUACAAAAGAAGUUUACAAUCCAUAGGACCUUAAUCCUUCACGCGGGAUGGCUGGUUCAGGCUUGCACCCAUUGACCAAUAUUCCUCACUGCUGCCUCCCGUAGGAGUCUGGUCCGUGUCUCAGUACCAGUGUGGGGGAUCACCCUCUCAGGCCCCCUAAAGAUCAUCGCCUUGGUGAGCCGUUACCUCACCAACUAGCUAAUCUUGCGCGUGCCCAUCUCUAUCCGCCGGAGCUUUCAAUAUUAAUUGAUGCCAAUUAAUAUAUUAUAGAGUAUUAAUCUUCCUUUCGAAAGGCUAUCCUCUAGAUAAAGGUAGGUUGCACACGUGUUCCGCACCCGUACGCCGCUCUCUCAUUUCCGAAGAAACAAUACCGCUCGGCUUGCAUGUGUUAGGCCUCCCGCUAGCGUUCAUCCUGAGCCAGGAUCAAACUCU
rnacentral:rRNA from 1 species